UGACGCUGCAUUCUGGGAACCCACAACUGUGCUCGUGAAUCCAUGGCGAUUGGGCUCUACACUGGCCUACUGUCCAGCCAUCACAGAGAGGAAGAGGAGAACCGGAUGGUCGUGAGGACGGGAAGUCACGUGCCAAAGAAAUAAGUCUGAUUUGCAAGUGAGUUUUGUUUGUAGACUUUAGUCUGUUUCAAAGUGUGGUAGGU
ensembl:lncRNA